GCCUAUGGCCAUACUACCCUGAGCACGCCUGAUCUCGUCUGAUCUCAGAAUCUAAGCAGGGUCAGGCUGGAUUAAUACUUGGAUGGGAGACCGCCUGGGAAUACCAGGUGCCGUAGGCU